CAACCCUCAAGCCCCCGGGCUUGGUGUUGGGGACCGGCCCCCCGCCCUCCGGCGGGGGCCGCCCCCGAAAAUCAGUGGCGGUCUCGCUGUAGCUUCCCCUGCGUAGUAGCACACCUCGCUCUGGAACGCGGCGCGGCCAUGCCGUGAAACCCCCCACUUCUGAA
rnacentral:misc_RNA from 1 species